rnacentral:misc_RNA from 1 species
GAUGAAGAACGCAGCGAAAUGCGAUAAGUAAUGUGAAUUGCAGAAUUCAGUGAAUCAUCGAAUCUUUGAACGCACAUUGCGCCCGAUAGUAUUCUGGCGGGCAUGCCUGUCCGAGCGUCAUUUCAACCCUCAAGCCCCCGGGCUUGGUGUUGGGGAUCGGCGAGCCUCCGCGCCCGCCGUCCCCUAAAUCUAGUGGCGGUCUCGCUGUAGCUUCCUCUGCGUAGUAGCACACCUCGCACUGGGAAACAGCGCGGCCACGCCGUUAAACCCCCAACUUCUGAACGUUUGACCUCGGAUCAGGUAGGAAUACCCGCUGAACUUAAGCAUAUCAAUAAGCGGAGGA